rnacentral:rRNA from 1 species
AGAGUUUGAUCAUGGCUCAGGACGAACGCUGGCGGCGUGGAUUAGGCAUGCAAGUCGAACGGUAUGGCACCUUUCGGGUGUCAGAGAGUGGCGAACGGGUGAGUAACACGUAGGUUAUCUACCCUCAAGAUCGGGACAACCCAGGGAAACUUGGGCUAAUACCGGAUGUGAGCAUCUCUUUAGGGAUGUUUGAAAGGUGGCUUUUAGCUGUCGCUUGAGGAUGAGCCUGCGUCCUAUUAGUUAGUUGGUGAGGUAAUGGCUCCCCAAGGCUAUGAUAGGUAGGCGGCCUUAACGGGUGGUCGCCCACACUGGGAUUGAGAUACGGCCCAGACUCCUACGGGAGGCAGCAGUCGAGAAUAGUCUACAAUGGCCGAAAGGCUGAUAGUGCGACGCCGCGUGAACGAGGAAGCCCUUCGGGGUGUAAAGUUCUUUUAUAUGUGAGCAGUGCCGGUCAUAUUAAUAGUAUGAUUGGAGCGAUAUUAGCAUAUGAAUAAGCAACGGCUAACUCCGUGCCAGCAGCCGCGGUAACACGGGGGUUGCGAGCGUUGUCCGGAAUUACUAGGCGUAAAGGGCAGGCAGGCGGACCUGCAGGUUUUCUGUUAAAGACGUCAGCUCAACUGGCGCACGGCAGGAGAUACUGCAGAUCUUGAAUGCGGUUGGGGAAGACAGAAUUCCUGGUGUAGCGGUGGAAUGCGCAGAGAUCAGGAGGAAUACCAAAGGCGAAGGCAGUCUUCCAAGCCGUUAUUGACGCUCAACUGCGAAGGUGUGGGUAUCAAACAGGAUUAGAUACCCUGGUAGUCCACACAGUAAACGAUGAUCACUAGGUGUCGGUUUCGUAAUAGGAUUCGGUGCCGUAGCUAACGCGUUAAGUGAUUCGCCUGGGGAGUACGAUCGCAAGGUUGAAACUCAAAGGAAUUGACGG